rnacentral:rRNA from 1 species
UACGUAGGGGGCUAGCGUUGUCCGGAAUCAUUGGGCGUAAAGCGCGCGUAGGCGGCCAGAUAAGUCCGGUGUGAAAGUCACAGGCUCAACCUGUGAAUGCCGCUGGAAACUGUCUGGCUUGAGUCCGGAAGGGGCGAGUGGAAUUCCUGGUGUAGCGGUGAAAUGCGCAGAUAUCAGGAGGAACACCGAUGGCGAAGGCAGGUCUCUGGGCCACUACUGACGCUGAGAAGCGAAAGCAUGGGGAGCGAACAGG